rnacentral:rRNA from 1 species
AGUGAACGCUGGCGGUAGGCCUAACACAUGCAAGUCGAACGGCAGCACAGUAAGAGCUUGCUCUUAUGGGUGGCGAGUGGCGGACGGGUGAGGAAUACAUCGGAAUCUACUUUUUCGUGGGGGAUAACGUAGGGAAACUUACGCUAAUACCGCAUACGACCUACGGGUGAAAGCAGGGGAUCUUCGGACCUUGCGCGAUUGAAUGAGCCGAUGUCGGAUUAGCUAGUUGGCGGGGUAAAGGCCCACCAAGGCGGCGAUCCGUAGCUGGUCUGAGAGGAUGAUCAGCCACACUGGAACUGAGACACGGUCCAGACUCCUACGGGAGGCAGCAGUGGGGAAUAUUGGACAAUGGGCGCAAGCCUGAUCCAGCCAUACCGCGUGGGUGAAGAAGGCCUUCGGGUUGUAAAGCCCUUUUGUUGGGAAAGAAAAGCAGCAGGUUAAUACCCCGCUGUUCUGACGGUACCCAAAGAAUAAGCACCGGCUAACUUCGUG